rnacentral:rRNA from 1 species
GACGAACGCUGGCGGCGUGCCUAACACAUGCAAGUCGAACGGAAAGGCCCUGCUUUUGUGCGGUGCUCGAGUGGCGACCGGGUGAGUAACACGUGAGUAACCUGCCCCUGCCUGUGGGAUAACUUAAGGCAGCUUGAGCUAAUACCGGAUAGGAGCUCCUGCUGCAUGGUGGGGGUUGGAAAGUUUCGGCGGUUGGGGAUGGAAUCGCGGCGUAUCAGCUUGUUGGUGGGGUAGUGGCUUACCAAGGCUUGGAGAGGUAGCCGGGCUGGGAGGGUGACCGGCCACGUUGGGACGGAGAUGCGACCCAGACUCGAACGGUAGGCAGCGGUGGAGAAGAGUGCACAAGAGGAGGAGGGCAGACGUGGCAACGCCGCGUGGGGGAAGAGGUGAUUGGGGUUGGGAAGCGAUGUCGCUUUUGACGAAGCGAGAGUGACGGUAACGGGUAAAGAAGCACCGGCUAACUACGUG